AUUGAACGCUGGCGGCAGGCCUAACACAUGCCAGUCGAGCGGAUGAAGGGAGCUUGCUCCUGGAUUCAGCGGCGGACGGGUGAGUAAUGCCUAGGAAUCUGCCUGGUAGUGGGGGAUAACGUCCGGAAACGGGCGCUAAUACCGCAUACGUCCUGAGGGAGAAAGUGGGGGAUCUUCGGACCUCACGCUAUCAGAUGAGCCUAGGUCGGAUUAGCUAGUUGGUGGGGUAAAGGCCUACCAAGGCGACGAUCCGUAACUGGUCUGAGAGGAUGAUCAGUCACACUGGAACUGAGACACGGUCCAGACUCCUACGGGAGGCAGCAGUGGGGAAUAUUGGACAAUGGGCGAAAGCCUGAUCCAGCCAUGCCGCGUGUGUGAAGAAGGUCUUCGGAUUGUAAAGCACUUUAAGUUGGGAGGAAGGGCAGUAAGUUAAUACCUUGCUGUUUUGACGUUACCAACAGAAUAAGCAUCGGCUAACUUCGUG
rnacentral:rRNA from 1 species